rnacentral:pre_miRNA from 1 species
AUUCUACUCCCUCUGUUGCACAAUACAUGCCUUCUAUUUGUCAAAAUAUAUAUGUAUCUAGACAUGUCUUAGUAUAUAGGUACAUCCAUUUUUGGACAAAUGGAAGUCAAGUAUUUUGGAACGGAGGGAGUACAUA